rnacentral:rRNA from 1 species
GAAGGCAGCUUACUAAACUUUGACUGACGCUCAUGCACGAAAGCGUGGGGAUCAAACAGGAUUAGAUACCCUGGUAGUCCACGCUGUAAACGAUGAUUACUCGCUGUUGGCGAUACACAGUCAGUGGCUAAGCGAAAGUGAUAAGUAAUCCACCUGGGGAGUACGACGGCAACAUUGAAACUCAAAGGAAUUGACGGGGGCCCGCACAAGCGGAGGAGCAUGUGGUUUAAUUCGAUGAUACGCGAGGAACCUUACCAGGGCUAGAACGCAAGUUGAUUAUGUGCGAAAGUAUAUAUCUCUUCGGAGCAAUUUGCGAGGUGCUGCAUGGUUGUCGUCAGCUCGUGCCGUGAGGUGUCAGGUUAAGUCCUAUAACGAGCGCAACCCCUACUCUUAGUUGCCAGCAUGUGAUGAUGGGGACUCUAAGAGAACUGCCUACGCAAGUAGAGAGGAAGGUGGGGAUGACGUCAAAUCAGCACGGCCCUUAUGUCCUGGGCUACACACGUGCUACAAUGGUCGGUACAGAGGGCAGCUACCUGGCGACAGGAUGCUAAUCUCAAAAGCCGAUCUCAGUUCGGAUCGGAGUCUGCAACUCGACUCCGUGAAGUUGGAUUCGCUAGUAAUCGCGCAUCAGCCAUGGCGCGGUGAAUACGUUCCCGGGCCUUGUACACACCGCCCGUCAAGCCAUGGAAGCUGGGGGUACCUAAAGUCCGUAACCG